rnacentral:lncRNA from 1 species
UUAUAUUCUUUCGCCUUCUCUGCUUGAAGCUACUCGACUGGCCAAUGCGGACGACGUGAGGAGCCCGAUUCGAAGGGGGAAAGCUCAAGCUCGGUGGCACGAAGCUUGAUUUUACGUUGCGGCGAGCUUCGAGUGCUCGGCAGCAAGAAGUUCGAUUUGGGCAAAGCAAGAAUUUCGAUGUUGGCAGUCUGGCAAGGACCUCGUUUCAUGUUGGAUUUCGAUUUGGGAGGCCGGAGCCUCGACUCCUGCUGGAGGAUAUUGAUCUGGGCUGAUUUUGGCGUUUCCUCGUUGGCUCCGUCAGGUCGAGGUCAUCAAGGUGGCAUGUCGAGCUAGGAGCCUUCAUGGACCUCUUCCUUACAGGUUACAGCGGAGUGCAUCCGCAAGGGAAGAAAACCCUAUCAAAUCUGUUCUGGUUCGUGGUCCUGUGCUCCCUUUUUUCUCGAGGAUUAGUUGACCUCGUUGUAAUGUGUGGGGAGAUUUGGCUGGGAUGCCACUGCUGUUUGUGUGGGAGAUGCUAAUCUGAUACUUAUCCUUGUGGCGUGCGGCGCUGCUAAAACUGCUUGUUGCAAAAUUCCGCUACCGAGACAGACCAAUAAACGAAAGGCGUCGAUCGUUGUCACCCCAGAUGGCACGCCCACGCUCGAUCUUCUCUCCAGAACCGUCUGAUUCCUUCCUAGUACCAUCACUCCGCGCAGAAUCGACCAUCAUCUGGUCCGAACAAUCGCAACAAACCACACGAGCAAAACAAAAGCUAAUAGAAUAGUAAAACUGGAUUAUUCUGUUCUCACUGACGGUUCAUGCGAGCAGCGAGCUGCAAGUACACGUCUUGAUACAUCAGCCACUUACAGAAAGGGGAUCGCAUCGCCGUCGGAUCGCCCCCUCCAGCGUCAGGUCGCCGUCGACGAACCUGAACCAGACCGUACCGCUUCCCUUUUUCGUCCCGCCCAAAAAAAAUCUCCAAAUCAUGGACGUCGCCAGUGGCCGCGCAGCCUGCCCUACCC